rnacentral:rRNA from 1 species
GACGAACGCUGGCGGCGCGCCUAACACAUGCAAGUCGAACGAGAGAGAGGGAGCUUGCUUCCUCAAUCGAGUGGCGAACGGGUGAGUAACGCGUGAGGAACCUGCCUCAAAGAGGGGGACAACAGUUGGAAACGACUGCUAAUACCGCAUAAGCCCACGGGUCGGCAUCGACCAGAGGGAAAAGGAGCAAUCCGCUCUGAGAUGGCCUCGCGUCCGAUUAGCUAGUUGGUGAGGUAACGGCCCACCAAGGCAACGAUCGGUAGCCGGACUGAGAGGUUGAACGGCCACAUUGGGACUGAGACACGGCCCAGACUCCUACGGGAGGCAGCAGUGGGGAAUAUUGCACAAUGGGGGAAACCCUGAUGCAGCGACGCCGCGUGGAGGAAGAAGGUCUUCGGAUUGUAAACUCCUGUUGUUGAGGAAGAUAAUGACGGUACUCAACAAGGAAGUGACGGCUAACUACGUGCCAGCAGCCGCGGUAAAACGUAGGUCACAAGCGUUGUCCGGAAUUACUGGGUGUAAAGGGAGCGCAGGCGGGAAGACAAGUUGGAAGUGAAAUCCAUGGGCUCAACCCAUGAACUGCUUUCAAAACUGUUUUUCUUGAGUAGUGCAGAGGUAGGCGGAAUUCCCGGGGUAGCGGUGGAAUGCGUAAAUAUCGGGGAGGAACACCAGUGGCGAAGGCGGCCUACUGGGGCACCAACUGACGCUGAGGCUCGGAAGUGGGGGGAGCAAACAGGAUUAAAUACCCUGGUAGCCCCAACCCGUAAACGAUGAUUAUUAGGUGUUGGAGGAGUGACCCCCUCAGUGCCGCAGUUAACACAAUAAGUAAUCCACCUGGGGAGUACGACCGCAAGGUUGAAACUCAAAGGAAUUGACGGGGGCCCGCACAAGCAGUGGAGUAUGUGGUUUAAUUUGACGCAACGCGAAGAACCUUACCAAGUCUUGACAUCCCUUGACGAUGCUGGAAACAGUAUUUCUUUUUGGAGCAAGGAGACAGGUGGUGCAUGGUUGUCGUCAGCUCGUGUCGUGAGAUGUUGGGUUAAGUCCCGCAACGAGCGCAACCCUUCUGGUCAGUUAUUACGCAAGAGGACUCUGGCCAGACUGCCGUUGACAAAACGGAGGAAGGUGGGGAGGACGUCAAAUCAUCAUGCCCUUUAUGACUUGGGCUACACACGUACUACAAUGGCGUUAAACAAAGAGAAGCAAGACCGCGAGGGGGAGCAAAACUCAGAAACAACGUCCCAGUUCGGACUGCAGGCUGCAACUCGCCUGCACGAAGUCGGAAUUGCUAGUAAUCGUGGAUCAGCAUGCCACGGUGAAUACGUUCCCGGGCCUUGCAC